GAGUUUGAUCCUGGCUCAGGACGAACGCUGGCGGCGCGCCUAACACAUGCAAGUCGAACGAGCGAGAGAGAGCUUGCUUUCUCAAGCGAGUGGCGAACGGGUGAGUAACGCGUGAGGAACCUGCCUCAAAGAGGGGGACAACAGUUGGAAACGACUGCUAAUACCGCAUAAGCCCACAGCUCGGCAUCGAGCAGAGGGAAAAGGAGCAAUCCGCUUUGAGAUGGCCUCGCGUCCGAUUAGCUAGUUGGUGAGGUAAUGGCCCACCAAGGCGACGAUCGGUAGCCGGACUGAGAGGUUGAACGGCCACAUUGGGACUGAGACACGGCCCAGACUCCUACGGGAGGCAGCAGUGGGGAAUAUUGCACAAUGGGGGAAACCCUGAUGCAGCGACGCCGCGUGGAGGAAGAAGGUCUUCGGAUUGUAAACUCCUGUUGUUGAGGAAGAUAAUGACGGUACUCAACAAGGAAGUGACGGCUAACUACGUGCCAGCAGCCGCGGUAAAACGUAGGUCACAAGCGUUGUCCGGAAUUACUGGGUGUAAAGGGAGCGCAGGCGGGAAGACAAGUUGGAAGUGAAAUCUAUGGGCUCAACCCAUAAACUGCUUUCAAAACUGUUUUUCUUGAGUAGUGCAGAGGUAGGCGGAAUUCCCGGUGUAGCGGUGGAAUGCGUAGAUAUCGGGAGGAACACCAGUGGCGAAGGCGGCCUACUGGGCACCAACUGACGCUGAGGCUCGAAAGUGUGGGUAGCAGACAGGAUUAGAUACCCUGGUAGUCCACACCGUAAACGAUGAUUACUAGGUGUUGGAGGAUUGACCCCUUCAGUGCCGCAGUUAACACAAUAAGUAAUCCACCUGGGGAGUACGACCGCAAGGUUGAAACUCAAAGGAAUUGACGGGGGCCCGCACAAGCAGUGGAGUAUGUGGUUUAAUUCGACGCAACGCGAUGAACCUUACCAAGUCUUGACAUCCUGCGACGCACAUAGAAAUAUGUGUUUCCUUCGGGACGCAGAGACAGGUGGUGCAUGGUUGUCGUCAGCUCGUGUCGUGAGAUGUUGGGUUAAGUCCCGCAACGAGCGCAACCCUUACUGUCAGUUACUACGCAAGAGGACUCUGGCAGGACUGCCGUUGACAAAACGGAGGAAGGUGGGGAUGACGUCAAAUCAUCAUGCCCUUUAUGACUUGGGCUACACACGUACUACAAUGGCGUUAAACAAAGAGAAGCAAGACCGCGAGGUGGAGCAAAACUCAGAAACAACGUCCCAGUUCGGACUGCAGGCUGCAACUCGCCUGCACGAAGUCGGAAUUGCUAGUAAUCGUGGAUCAGCAUGCCACGGUGAAUACGUUCCCGGGCCUUGUACACACCGCCCGUC
rnacentral:rRNA from 1 species